rnacentral:tRNA from 3 species
GGCGCUGUAGCCCAACUGGGAGAGGCGGCGGUCUGAGGGGCCGCAGGUUGCAGGUUCGAAUCCUGUCAGCGCCA